UACAGAGGUCCCAAGCGUUGUCCGGAAUCACUGGGCGUAAAGGGCGCGUAGGUGGCGCGGAAAGUCAACGGUGAAAGCUUGGGGCUCAACCCCGAGUCGGCCGUCGAUACUUCUGGGCUUGAGCACUGUAGAGGCAGGUGGAAUUCCAGGUGUAGCGGUGAAAUGCGUAGAUAUCUGGAGGAACACCGGUGGCGAAGGCGGCAUCCUGGACCAAUUCUGACGCUGAGGAGCGAAAGCCAGGGGAGCAAACGGG
rnacentral:rRNA from 1 species